UCUUAGUCCUCUGUAGGCAAACACAGCACAGAGAAAGGAUCACAUAAACAUGUGUUUUGGAUAUGAUGAAAAAUGUGAUUUUUUUUUUAUUCCUGUACUUUUUAUGAUUCAUUGCUUCUUUUUCUGGGAGGCCUUGGAGGACAGUCCCAGAGAGACAUAGCUCACUCUCACUCACUCUUUAACCCGUGAGAUGACUUACCCAGCAAAUUAUGGAGACAGUUACCAUCUGGAACACUACAAAGCAAGCCAUACUUUCUCUUUAACAAAACUUUCAGGUGUUAUAUAACGUCACACAUCAGAGGUUGGCUUGUUGUGCUGGACGUUUGACAGUGUGCAGAUUUCCGAAGCUUCAAGGACAAGCAGGACCCGUAAUAAAAACACUGGCAUGUUCCCAGUGUUUGCCCUCAGUAAAUAAUCAAUGAUCAAAGUAAGACAAAUGCCUCAGUCGCUCCCCUGAUUUGUUCCUCAUUAUCCUCACUUAG